CAAGCUUAGACGAGGAGGCCCACGUAGAAAAGGAAGCAAGCUUAGACGAGGAGGCCCACGUAGAAAUGGAAGCAAGCUUAGACGAAGAGGUAGACGUAGAAAUGGAAGCAAGCAAGGCAGAAAACAGGGCAAAGGCAGAAGAGGAAGCAAACGCAAAGGACGCAACAAGAGUAGAAGAGGUGGUAAACGUAGAGGGAAAUGGGGGAUGGCAUGGUUAAGGUAAAACAGGUCUGUCAUAGCCUUAAACUCUGACAAGUAACCCAGUGAAGCUAGGAAGAUCCUCUGAGAAACUGCAUUAUUUUUCCUUUUCAUAGAUUUAGUUGUUGUUUUUUAUGCUAGCAUAACUCUCAUUUUUUGGCCUUUAUAAACAAAAUAACUUGCUUUCGAACUUGUCAGUGAGUUAAUAUGAUCAUGUCCCAUGUGACCUGCUGUUUAAACCUUCAAGGAGCUGCCAGAAAAUGUUGGUUUAAAAAAAAAUACAUUAUAUAAAAUACAUUUGAAAAUAAUAAAAAGAAACAUGACACUAGAAAUUUAAAGAAUAUGUCCACUUUAAGAAUUUUACAACCUUUUACUGAUUUAAUGAGCUUUUGUGAAACAUUCUUACAGAUCUGUGGUAGGAGCAAUCAACUUGAAACUUUUGCUUGAAUCAUGAAUUGGAGUCACAAAACAGGGACUUUAAAGAGAUUUGACUACUAUUUCAUUUAGUCAAAGAUUAAACAUUAUCGAAACUUUAAUGUUCUGCUCUUCCUGAUUAAAGCUUGGCUUGGCAUGCA